GCCGGACGGCCACCUCAUAUAGGAAUUCCAUUAAGACAUGCGAGUCGAGAGUCUUCGGGACUCGGCGGACUGCUCAGUAACACGUGGAUAACAUGCCCUUAGGAGGGGGAUAAUCUCGAGAAAUUGAGAAUAAUACCCCAUAGGCCAUGGAUGCUGGAAUGCUCCAUGGCUCAAAGUUCCGGCGCCUAAGGAUUGGUCUGCGGCCUAUCAGGUCGUAGUGGGUGUAACGGACCCACUAGCCAAUGACGGGUAUGGGCCUUGAGAGAGGGAGCCCAGAGAUGGACUCUGAGACACGAGUCCAGGCCCUACGGGGCGCAGCAGUCGCGAAACCUUCACACUGGGGGCAACCCUGAUGAGGGAAUUCCUAGUGCCUGCAUUUUGUGUAGGCUUUUCUCUAGUGUAGAUAGCUAGAGGAAUAAGGGCCGGGUAAGACGGGUGCCAGCCGCCGCGGUAAUACCCGCGGCCCGAGUGGUGGUCGAUAUUAUUGAGUCUAAAACGUCCGUAGCCUGUUCAGUAAAUCUUUGGGUAAAUCGGCCAGCUCAACUGACCGAAUUCCGGAGAGACUGCUGAACUUGGGACCGGGAGAGGCCAGAGUACUUCUGGGGUAGGGGUAAAAUCCUGUAAUCCUAGAAGGACCACCGGUGGCGAAGGCGUCUGGCUAGAACGGAUCCGACGUGAGGGACGAAGCCCUGGGGCGCAAACGGGAUUAGAUACCCCGGUAGUCAGGGUGUAAACGCUGUAGCUUGUGUUGGGGGUCCUUCGAGGGCGCCCAGUGCCGGAGAGAAGUUGUUAAGCCUGCUACUUGGGGAGUACGUCCGCAAGGAUGAAACUUAAAGGAAUUGGCGGGGGAGCCCAAGGUGGAAUUGGUCUACACCGUGCAAGCUUAUCCGAUCUAUAGACGUCGUGCG
rnacentral:rRNA from 1 species